rnacentral:rRNA from 1 species
UACGUAGGGGGCAAGCGUUGUCCGGAAUCAUUGGGCGUAAAGAGCGUGUAGGCGGUUCGGUAAGUCGGCUGUGAAAGUCCAGGGCUCAACCCUGGGAUGCCGGUCGAUACUGCCGGACUAGAGUUCGGAAGAGGAGAGUGGAAUUCCCGGUGUAGCGGUGAAAUGCGCAGAUAUCGGGAGGAACACCUAUGGCGAAGGCAGCUCGCUGGGACGUUACUGACGCUGAGACGCGAAAGCGUGGGGAGCAAACAGG